CCUACGGGUGGCUGCAGUGAGGAAUAUUGGUCCAUGGCCGCAGGGCUGAACCAGCCAAGUCGCGUGAGGGAUUACGGUCCUAUGGAUUGUCAACCUCUUUUGUCAGGGAGUCAAGGGCGCCACGUGUGGCGUUUUGCGAGUACCUGAAGAAAAAGCAUCGGCUAACUCCGUGCCAGCAGCCGCGGUAAUAGGGGGAAUGCGAGCGUUCUCCGGAUUUAUUGGGUUUAAAGGGUGCGCAGACGGAAUGUAAAGUCAGCGGUAAAAUUUCGGGGCUCAACCCCGUCGUGCCGUUGAAACUGGCGGUCUUGAGUGAGCGAGAAGUAUGCGGAAUGCGUGGUGUAGCGGUGAAAUGCAUAGAUAUCACGCAGAACUCCGAUUGCGAAGGCAGCAUACUGGAGCUCAACUGACGCUGAUGCACGAAAGCGUGGGGAUCGAACAGGAUUAGAUACCCGAGUAGUA
rnacentral:rRNA from 1 species